GCGCGAAAACUUUACAAUGCUGGCAACAGCGAUAAAGGAACCUCGAGUGCCAGGUUACAAAUCUGGCUGUCGAGAUGCCUAAAAAGCAUUUCAUAGCAAGGGCCGGGCAAGACCGGUGCCAGCCGCCGCGGUAACACCGGCGGCUCGGGUGGUAACCGUGAGUAUUGGGUCUAAAGGGUCUGUAGCCGGCCGGAUAAGUCUCUUGCGAAAUCUGGCAGCUUAACUGUCAGGCUUUCAGGAGAUACUGUCUGGCUCGAGGCCGGGAGAGGUGAGAGGUACUUCAGGGGUAGGGGUGAAAUCUUGUAAUCCUUGAAGGACCACCAGUGGCGAAGGCGGCUCACCAGAACGGACCUGACGGCAAGGGGCGAAAGCUAGGGGCACGAACC
rnacentral:rRNA from 1 species